UACGAAGGGGCUAGCGUUGCUCGGAAUCACUGGGCGUAAAGCGCACGUAGGCGGCUUUUAAGUCAGGGUGAAUCCUGGAGCUCAACUCCAGAACUGCCUUGAUACUGCGAGCUGAGUUCGGGAGAGGUGAGUGGAACUGCGAGUGUAGAGGUGAAAUUCGUAGAUAUUCGCAAGAACACCAGUGGCGAAGGCGGCUCACUGGCCCG
rnacentral:rRNA from 1 species